AGCGAACGCUGGCGGCAGGCUUAACACAUGCAAGUCGAACGGUCCUUCGGGACAGUGGCGGACGGGUGAGUAACACGUGGGAACGUGCCUUUAGGUUCGGAACAACUCAGGGAAACUUGAGCUAAUACCGGAUAAGCCCUUCGGGGGAAAGAUUUAUCGCCUUUAGAGCGGCCCGCGUCUGAUUAGCUAGUUGGUAGGGUAAAAGCCUACCAAGGCGACGAUCAGUAGCUGGUCUGAGAGGAUGGCCAGCCACACUGGGACUGAGACACGGCCCAGACUCCUACGGGAGGCAGCAGUGGGGAAUCUUGCGCAAUGGGCGAAAGCCUGACGCAGCCAUGCCGCGUGAAUGAUGAAGGUCUUAGGAUUGUAAAAUUCUUUCACCGGGGACGAUAAUGACGGUACCCGGAGAAGAAGCCCCGGCUAACUUCGUGCCAGCAGCCGCGGUAAC
rnacentral:rRNA from 1 species